rnacentral:rRNA from 1 species
AAGCCUAACCUGCAGACAGAACAGAGUCUAGCUUAACACAGAUAAAGCGCCUCCCUUACACUGAGGAGAUGCCCGUGCAAACCGGGUUAACUCUGUAGGCCCAACAGCUAGCCCGCCCCUCUAAAACAACCAUCCACCAUAACUAAACCCAAAAACACUCACUCGACAAAACAAAUCAUUUUCCCUCCCUAGUAUAGGCGAUAGAAAAGGAAC